rnacentral:rRNA from 1 species
UGGGAACAUACCCUUCGGUUACGGAAUAACUCAGGGAAACUUGGGCUAAUACCGGAUAGCCUCUCGAGCUUUCGAGCUCGUGAGAAAAGGUAGCUUCGGCCUCCGAUCGAGGAUGAGCCCGCGGGCGGAUUAGCUUGUUGGUGGGGUAAUGGCCUACCAAGGCGACGAUCCGUAGCUGGUCUGAGAGGACGAUCAGCCACACGUGGGACUGAGACACGGCCCAGACCUCCCGUACGGGGA